UAUAAUUUAUUUGGGUAAUUUCGUUCAAUAAUCAAAUAAGUUAGUGUGCUUAAGCGUGCAUUUGCAGGGCCGGUGAUGGAUGGAUCGAAUUUGAGCAUCACAUAGAACUGAGCCAACACGACUGAGAUGAGGUUCUAACAUGCUAUAUGCUUAUGCGUUUUCCCGCAAUAUGUAAUUUGCGCAAAAUCGCUUCAUAAUCAUGUAUUUAUUGUCUUUGAGCGUGCGUUCAAGCGGUGGCAUGGAUGCAUCAAGUUUCAGCUUCAGAGAAAAAUAAGUUAGCACGAUUACGCAGAGGUUCUAUGGGGUAUAGACUGAUGUUCUUUCCUCGAACAGAAAUUUCUGCAUAUUCGUUUGAUUUUAACGGAUGUUAGUGUCAUCAUACGGGCUUUUGCAGGGGGAGUGAUAGAUGCGUUGAAGUUGAGGUUUUCAGAGAUUUGGGUCAGACGACGUGGCUGAGCUUCUGUUGGGCUCUGUUUAGUUUUUUUUUUCAAGAUUAGUAAUUUUUGCAAAUUUAUAUAAUAGUCAUGUAACUUAGUAACCCCGUACGUGUGUUUGCAGGAGCAGUGAUGGGUACGUCGAGAUUAAGCUUUUCAUGGAGGUGAGUUACCACAAAUGAGCUGGUUGCAGUUUUCCGCGACAACUAAUUUCUUGAAAUUCACUUAAUAAUCGUGUAGUUAACUUCAGUAUAUGUGCAUGUGCAGCGGGAGUGAAAUAUGGUUGAAAUUUGAGCUUUAUAUAUAAGUAAUCCCGACAGCGCAGACGUUCUGUCGGGCUAUAGACAUACGUUCUUUCCGCGAUGAUGUACUUCGCAUAUUCGUUGAAUAUUGGUGCAAGUUUGUAUACGCGCAUUUGCAGGGGUAGUGAUGGAUGGUUCGAAUUUAAGCUUUACGGUGAAGUGAGUUAACACGACGUCGCAGAGGUUCUGACAUGCUGUAGGCUGGUGUUUCUUCUGCGAAUUGAUGUAUCUAUCAUUUACGUGUCUGCACACGUGCAUAUUUAGGGGGCGUGAUGGAUGCGUUGAGUUUGAGCGUUACAGAGAACUGAGUUAGCACGACGUAGCGUAGGUUCUAACGGGCUAAAUGCUUGUACUUUGCUCUAUAAGUAAUUUGCGCAAAUGGGUUUAAUAACCGUAUAAGUUAGUUUCUGUAUAGGUGCAUUUGUGCCAGCGAUAGUAAUAAUGCUCAUGUAGUGUCCAUAUAAAUGUUACCGCAAUUAAAAGAAAGGGUAUGGCGGAAUCUGAGAACAAGUUCGAGUUUGAUGCUGACUAGGCUAGCAACCCAGUGUCUCGUAUCAUGAAAUGUUUUUCCCGUUCUUGUCACAUACGCAAACCACGUUUUCUUUUGUUUGCUUUCGUCCAUCGCUGCCGAGAACGGCCGGCACGACAUGGACCCAGUCGUGUCGUGCACUCAUCUGCUGGCCGAGGACGAUGCCGGAUUUUCUGGCUUCGUCACCAGGUGAAGCGUGGGAGGCAGCACCGGAGGCAGCUGUACGAGUCAGAGCAACAAGGUCGACCUGACUUCUUUGGCAGCGAGGUGAACAUCUCCUGCAGCAUGCUCAUGUCAAGCCACAUGUAGCAGCUGCGAGCAACGUACGUGACACAGUGUUCAUGCCACUGGCAAGGCUGCAGCACACUCUGUUGUCCUCGCGCAGCCGGAUGCUCCAUUUUGGAUGUCGGUUGGCCAGGAUGUCCAGCAAGUUCCAGAGCAGCGUGCUCACCGGAAAUUCUCCGGAGGAUCCGGAUGCUCACCGGAGGAUCUCCCCACCACGGACUUCGGAGAAUCCCUCGAUCUGAAGCAACCUGGUGCGCGAGCCACCGAGCAGCCGCUGACCCAGACUGGAGAGGUUCAGCUCGAACGCCAGGUUUCGAACUUGCGUCAGAGCGGCCACUUUCACUGUCACGACGACGUGGCCAUUAGCACCGUUGCUGAAAAUUACGACAAGCGCUUGGUUCCGCACACACAAAAAUAAAGUCUGAAAACACCGCAGGCCAAAAGGCCAGAAGACGACGACGACGGCGACGUGUAACGCCCGUGACGUGCAAGAUGUCUUACACUUCACGUACCACGACUCGAACUAAUAAGUGUUUACGGGGUACGUCCUGGGUAGCUUGAGGUGAGUUACGGGCGGGUCUUCGAAAUAGAGCACCGAUAGCACGGCGGCUUACCGAGUUAUAUAGUUGGUAAGGGGGGAGGGGGAGGGGAAGACAAGGAGUGGAAUGUUGGUGGAGUGCAUGGCUAGCUGAAAUAACGAAGAACCCACGUACGACUGCAAAAUUAGCCGGAGACUUUCGCGGUGGCGUAUGUUAUUCGCGGUGGCGUAUGUUAUUCGCCUACUGUUAUUCAAUAAGCGAAGAGCUUUGUUCAGGAUCCUUUUAACCCUGCAGUGCAUAACGCGCCAUCCGAUUGCUGCGCCGUUCGAGACUGAAUUUCAAAUUUCUGCACGUGAAACAGAAGUAGCGACAUACAUUCCUAAGCUGUUCACGUGUGAAACUCGGCUGCAAUAUAACUACUAGCUGCAGUGCUCGUUAUAUUUGCUGAAGCUAUCUUCAGUAUAAGUAUGCGCUCCAUGACGAGAAAUGAAGUUGUACGUAUUUCGUGUAGAACGCUGUUUGGGCAUUGCAGGGUUUAAUGCGCCCAAAUACGUUUGGUGUCUGUGUUGUUGGAUGCUCUGAACAGCGAACUCUUCAAAGUACUUGAAAAACUGCAGCAAUGGAUAACGAAGCCUGAAAGGACACCACACCACACUACUACAAAAUUUGGAGUUCAUCUGGGAGGCAUACCGCAGGUUGAGUAAAAUAGACGUCGGGAUAAUUUAUCACUCUGAACUGGCGCCUGUGUUGUGUAGCAGGCAAACUUACGCGUGACAUUAGCAUGUUAAGCAAUCGCCGUAUAAGAAUGAAAACGCUUGUUGAGCAUCGAAGUACUUUCGGGCUGUUCUGUAGUUUUUCCGCGUACUUUUCUCUCGCGUUCCACAAUCUUCGCGAACAGCCGUGCGCCGUGCUUAUUAGCCGGAGGCUUCCGUUAAGCUGUUCCAAACAUACCUCUAGAAUGGAUUUCGUUGUUUCUCGCACAGAUACAGCCUUCUGGGUUUAAGAUCUCCAGGACUUCAGAAUUGCCACUAAGAAUUCGUGAUAGUAUGUGUUUUCCCCUGCCAGCGUUAGUUUCUAUUCCCGGCACCUGUCGUUCUAGUAAUGAAUUCGAUGUCAUAUUUGUGAGAAAUUUGCACUUUCGGCGUCAUGUGCGCGCAUGUAUACGGCGUAAAUUAAGGUGAGAAUGUUCAGUUUUUGAUCGUCCCUCAAUUUUGUUUUUUUACAGGGCCGGAGGAAUGUUUUUGCUGGUGUACGAAUGGUUAAGAGCUUCGAAAUAAAUUACGGUGUGUGG